rnacentral:rRNA from 1 species
GAUGAACGCUAGCUACAGGCUUAACACAUGCAAGUCGAGGGACCGGCGCACGGGUGAGUAACACGUAUCCAACCUGCCCUUUACUCGGGGAUAGCCUUUCGAAAGAAAGAUUAAUACCCGAUAUAAAGGAUGGGGAUGCGUUCCAUUAGGUUGUUGGUGAGGUAACGGCUCACCAAGCCUUCGAUGGAUAGGGGUUCUGAGAGGAAGGUCCCCCACAUUGGAACUGAGGCACGGUCCAAACUGCUACGCGACGCAGGGGUGAGGAAGAUUAGUCAAUGGAGGCUAGCCUGACCCAGCCAAGUAGCGGGAAGAAUGAUGGCGUAUGGGUCGUAUACUUCUUUUAUAUAAGAAUAUGUAUUAUAUGAAUAAGGAUCGGCUAACUCCGUGCCAGCAGCCGCGGUAAUAC